AGUCUGAUGGAGCAACGCCGCGUGAGUGAAGAAGGUUUUCGGAUCGUAAAGCUCUGUUGUUGGUGAAGAAGGAUAGAGGUAGUAACUGGCCUUUAUUUGACGGUAAUCAACCAGAAAGUCACGGCUAACUACGUG
rnacentral:rRNA from 1 species